rnacentral:rRNA from 1 species
CGUAAACGAUGAUAACUAGCUGUCCGGGGACUUGGUCUUUGGGUGGCGCAGCUAACGCAUUAAGUUAUCCGCCUGGGAGUACGGUCGCAAGAUUAAAACUCAAAGGAAUUGACGGGGGCCUGCACAAGCGGUGGAGCAUGUGGUUUAAUUCGAAAGCAACGCGCAGAACCUUACCAGCGUUUGACAUGUCCGGACGACUUCGAGAGAUCGAUUUCUUCCCUUCGGGGACUGGAACACAGGUGCUGCAUGGCUGUCGUCAGCUCGUGUCGUGAGAUGUUGGGUUAAGUCCCGCAACGAGCGCAACCCUCGCCUUUAGUUACCAUCAUUUAGUUGGGUACUCUAAAGGAACCGCCGGUGAUAAGCCGGAGGAAGGUGGGGAUGACGUCAAGUCCUCAUGGCCCCUUACGCGCUGGGCUACACACGUGCUACAAUGGCAGGUACAGUGGGCAGCAAUCCCGCGAGGGUGAGCUAAUCUCCAAAACCUGUCUCAUGUUCGGAUUGUUCUCUGCA